rnacentral:rRNA from 1 species
AGAGUUUGAUCAUGGCUCAGAUUGAACGCUGGCGGCAGGCUUCACACAUGCAAGUCGAACGGUAACAGGAAGGAAGCUUGCUUUCUUUGCUGACGAGUGGCGGACGGGUGAGUAAUGCUUGGGAAUCUGGCUUAUGGAGGGGGAUAACUACGGGAAACUGUAGCUAAUACCGCGUAAUAUCUUCGGAUUAAAGGGUGGGACUUUCGGGCCACCUGCCAUAAGAUGAGCCCAAGUGGGAUUAGGUAGUUGGUGGGGUAAAGGCCUACCAAGCCGACGAUCUCUAGCUGGUCUGAGAGGAUGACCAGCCACACUGGAACUGAGACACGGUCCAGACUCCUACGGGAGGCAGCAGUGGGGAGUAUUGCACAAUGGGGGGAACCCUGAUGCAGCCAUGCCGCGUGAAUGAAGAAGGCCUUCGGGUUGUAAAGUUCUUUCGGUGAUGAGGAAGGUGUUUGUUUUAAUAGAACAAGCAAUUGACGUUAGUCACAGAAGAAGCACCGGCUAACUCCGUGCCAGCAGCCGCGGUAAUACGGAGGGUGCGAGCGUUAAUCGGAAUGACUGGGCGUAAAGGGCACGCAGGCGGUGACUUAAGUGAGAUGUGAAAGCCCCGAGCUUAACUUGGGAAUUGCAUUUCAUACUGGGUCGCUAGAGUAUUUUAGGGAGGGGUAGAAUUCCACGUGUAGCGGUGAAAUGCGUAGAGAUGUGGAGGAAUACCGAAGGCGAAGGCAGCCCCUUGGGAAUAUACUGACGCUCAUGUGCGAAAGCGUGGGGAGCAAACAGGAUUAGAUACCCUGGUAGUCCACGCUGUAAACGCUGUCGAUUUGGGGAUUGGGCUUAGAGCUUGGUGCCCGUAGCU